rnacentral:rRNA from 1 species
UACAGAGGUCUCAAGCGUUGUUCGGAUUCAUUGGGCGUAAAGGGUGCGUAGGUGGCGUGGUAAGUCGGGUGUGAAAUUUCGGAGCUUAACUCCGAAACUGCAUUCGAUACUGCCGUGCUUGAGGACUGGGGAGGAGACUGGAAUUUACGGUGUAGCAGUGAAAUGCGUAGAGACCGUAAGGAAGACCAGUGGCGAAGGCGGGUCUCUGGACAGUUCCUGACACUGAGGCACGAAGGCCAGGGGAGCAAACGGG